CCUACGGGUGGCUGCAGUGAGGAAUAUUGGUCAAUGGGCGCGAGCCUGAACCAGCCAAGUAGCGUGAAGGAUGACUGCCCUACGGGUUGUAAACUUCUUUUAUAAAGGAAUAAAGUGAGGCACGUGUGCCUUUUUGUAUGUACUUUAUGAAUAAGGAUCGGCUAACUCCGUGCCAGCAGCCGCGGUAAUACGGAGGAUCCGAGCGUUAUCCGGAUUUAUUGGGUUUAAAGGGAGCGUAGAUGGGUUGUUAAGUCAGUUGUGAAAGUUUGCGGCUCAACCGUAAAAGUGCAAUUGAUACUGGCAGUCUUGAGUACAGGUGAGGUAGGCGGAAUUCGUGGUGUAGCGGUGAAAUGCUUAGAUAUCACGAAGAACUCCGAUUGCGAAGGCAGCUUACUAAACUGCCACUGACAUUGAUGCUCGAAAGUGUGGGGAGCAAACAGGAUUAGAUACCCGGGUAGUC
rnacentral:rRNA from 1 species